rnacentral:piRNA from 1 species
UGAGUUUGGUGACUGGGAUCUCUCCG